rnacentral:tRNA from 2 species
CCUCGAUAGCUCAGUCGGUAGAGCAGGGGAUUGAAAAUCCCCGUGUCGGUGGUUCGAUUCCGCCUCGAGG